AUACCAUGAUGAGGACAAGCUCUCGUGUAUCCUUUCAUACGCUCCCACGCAUCAUACAAACUCUCUUCCUCGCCUUGCUCAAAUCUAGUUAUAUCGUUCCUUAUCUU
rnacentral:snoRNA from 1 species